rnacentral:tRNA from 1 species
UCCUGGGUAACUCAGCUGGAAGAGCAUGAGUCUCUUGAUCUCAGGGCUGUGAGUUCGAGCCUCAUCUUGGGUG